GUAGGUGGCAAGCGUUGUCCGGAAUUAUUGGGCGUAAGGCGCGCGCAGGCGGUUCUUUAAGUCUGAUGUGAAAGCCCACGGCUCAACCGUGGAGGGUCAUUGGAAACUGGAGAACUUGAGUACAGAAGAGGAAAGCGGAAUUCCACGUGUAGCGGUGAAAUGCGUAGAGAUGUGGAGGAACACCAGUGGCGAAGGCGGCUUUCUGGUCUGUAACUGACGCUGAGGCGCGAAAGCGUGGGGAGCAAACAGGGAUUAGAUACCCUGGUAGUCCACGCCGUAAACGAUGAGUGCUAAGUGUUAGGGGGUUUCCCGCCCCUUAGUGCUGCAGCUAACGCAUUAAGCACUCCGCCUGGGGAGUACGGCCGCAAGGCUG
rnacentral:rRNA from 1 species